CUGCGACAAAUUCUACAUAGUUAAACACUAUCGGGUUAUCGUUCUCUCAUAGAGGAUUCGCCCAAGUUAAUGCCCUAUCAACCAAUAAAGUGAUGAUGUAACCUAUCUUUGCCCUAUCUGUAGGGUAUGCUCUCGGAUGAAGCUCAAAAUAAAUACUAACUUGGUUCAAAAAACCUCGGCAACCUUUAUUAUCACCCCCGUAACGGAGAGGGGAGGUAGCAUGAUUAGGAG